AGUGACAGAAAUGACUCGGACUGAUCUUCUUUGAUGGUUGUAAUUCCACACUCCGCCGCUAGGUAGCGGCAGCAAAAACAGACCGGGGUUUGUUUUGUUUUUUUAAACUUCCGUGCGUGACGGAAGCGACGACACAAACGGACCGUGUGUUUACUAACGGCGGUCCCGCUCGGACAGAUAAACUCUGACACCGUGGAGUUUAAUUAGAUUUAAUUAGAAUUAAUUAAUCCACAGAGGAGCAGGUUAUCGAUGGCGGACCCUGCCGUGUCGUCCGGGCUCGCUGAACGCGGGCGGGCGUUAUAAUGAAGUGCUGAGGUGCUGCAGAGAUGUUGUGGCCUUCAGAUCGUGUCCUCCAGAUGUAAGAAAACAUGUGACAC